rnacentral:snRNA from 1 species
UUUGGCUCUCUGAACUAAGAUCAUGUGUAGUGUCUGUUUUUUUCAGUGUGACUUCUCUAAACUGGGACCAACCAAAUUACCUUCAUUCUUCCCUUACGGACGGAUGCUGUGACAUUGCUCAACUCCGUCCAAGGUUCGGCCUCGUACUGCAUUACCUUCAGGAUUGACGUAUUUAAA